GUUCCUAUAGUAGAAUUACAACGAUAGUUUUUCAGACUAUUAGUCUAGGUUAGAGUCCUAGUAGGAAUA
rnacentral:tRNA from 1 species